UACGGAGGGAGCUAGCGUUGUUCGGAAUUACUGGGCGUAAAGCGCACGUAGGCGGCUUUGUAAGUUAGAGGUGAAAGCCUGGAGCUCAACUCCAGAACUGCCUUUGAUACUGCAUGGCUUGAAUCCAGGAGAGGUGAGUGGAAUUCCGAGUGUAGAGGUGAAAUUCGUAGAUAUUCGGAAGAACACCAGUGGCGAAGGCGGCUCACUGGACUGGGUAUUGACGCUGAGGUGCGAAAGCGUGGGGAGCAAACAGG
rnacentral:rRNA from 1 species